rnacentral:rRNA from 1 species
GACAGAGGGUGCGAACGUUGGUCGGAAUUACUGGGCGUAAAGCGCAUGUAGGCGGCAGCGCAAGUCGGGCGUGAAAUCCCACGGCUCAACCGUGGAAGUGCACUCGAAACUGCGCAGCUAGAGUCCUGGAGAGGAAGGUGGAAUGCUUGGUGUAGAGGUGAAAUUCGUAGAUAUCAAGCGGAACACCGGUGGCGAAGGCGGCCUUCUGGACAGUGACUGACGCUGAGAUGCGAAAGCGUGGGGAGCAAACAGG